rnacentral:ncRNA from 1 species
GCGUGGGUCGGCCCGCUGGACUGCCGGUGGGCUGGGGGACACCGCCGCCUCACAUCCCCGCGGGCGGCGGUCCGGCCCGGGGGGCGAGUCCCGUUUCCCGGGCCGUG